AGGUUGUGUCGAAAGGAGGUACAUGUUAUGAUCCAAUUAAUCUCUAUAAUUCAGCUUCUGUCGCCAUGAAUCUUUAUUACCAAAAUCAAGGAAGACACUAUUCAAAAUGCGAUUUCGAAGGCUCUGGUAUAAUUACCGUAACUGAUCCUAGUUGUGGAUGUUGCAUAUAUGAAUUUUAUAAGUAAAGCAUAGAAAGCUUCGCCAAUGUAUUUGUUACAAAAUCAAAUAAUUCUGAUAGUUCAUAUUUGAUAUCUAAGAUUUGAAUAAUUAAUGGUUCAAUUUUCCCUUAUAUAUAUUAGUGUUUGAAA